rnacentral:lncRNA from 1 species
GUAAACGGCGUGUUCUGAGGACCUGCGUGGAGUCACAGGACCGUGGGUAGCGCUUUCCUGGCCUACGUGUGUAAAUAAUGUCUGUGUCUGGGUGAGAGACAGGACACGGGCAGCCGCGGAAGGACCCGUGCGCGAGUGUUUGCAGGAAAAUGUGUGUGCAUGUGUGCCUUUCUCCGAUGUGACAAUGUGUAAAUAUUUGCGAGUAUGUAGAUGUGAAAGCAACGAGGUGGGACGUGAGAUAGGGAAGGGACUAACAGCAGCAACAGGGUCUGGUUUUCAGGUCCGUCAGAAAAAGCAGAGACCAGGGCUCGUUUUCACUCACAUCGCAUCCUGAAGCUUAGCAAUCGGGGUUCGUCACUAUUUGUGCAUCUUGGGGUAGUGAGGAUUUAAUUAAUUCAUUGCGAAAAUCCUUGUCUCUGUUAUGUCCCCAGCUGUGCCGAAGGCAUUUCGCUGUGAGUGGAAACAGCAGUCCCGGGUUGUUAGAAGGCACUAGAUUUUUAUGUUUCCUUUGAUCAGACAAAGGAAAAAAACGGUGUGAAAAGUGCACUGGUUUAACCGAAUACUGAUGCGUCACUUAGUCUUUUGGUGUUCAUUUCCACUACCCACGCCCCCUUUACUCCACCCCACCCCUUCCCGCAGACGCCCUGGAGCUGUCCGCAGUGCUGAAACGCUGAAGCUGACCUCUUUCCUGCAAGAAGAUACUGAACUACCAUUGUGACAAAACCAUUAGGUAGAUGCGGUGCAGGUUUUCUAAAACGUGGUUGAAUAUUCACAUUGUAAACAGACCUCACUGGAAGCAAAGCAGAACACGUUAAAGCAACACAGCCACCGGCCCUCUCACCUCUCCUCGAGAGGUUCCUCCACACUCACCUUUAGUAUUAUUAACAGCCAUCAUGUUUUGUCACGAUUCCCAGAACCUAUCCUUGGCACGCACCUGUAGAUUCCCUACGAACUUAAUUGCUCAUCUUAUGAACUCUUCAGUCGUUAAUAUUUGAGAAAAUGCAGAUACAGAAUUUGUACAUUAUCAUUGCUGCUGUUGUUAUUUAGUGGAGAACUUGGGCGUGACGAUAUUUGACAAAUUUUAUGACUAUCUAGAGUAUUAUCACUUAGGAAAUGAAACAGUCUUACAAAGAUGUUGCACAGAGUGUCAGCCACAAAUGGAAUAUCUACAUCAUUUCCUUCAAAUCCCAAAGACUAUUGAGGGAGAGGAAGAGGAAAGAUGAUGAGAACCAGAGGGUAGACAAGAGUGAACCGGUGUUUUCUGAACAAGUCUACUUCACUCAUAAAGCCUGCUUUACCCAUGAACUCACACUACCGCAUAAGACCUGCACAAGAUCAAGCCAGUCAGCAUUCUAACAUGGUAUGGGGAGGGGAUCAUGAGCACCCACCUACUUCUGGAGGAGGAAUAGACAUUUUAAAGGGUGUGUCCCCUGAUUGGUUGAUCAAAUUUCUGUGGAUAGCCUCAUACCUAGGGGCAGGAGUAUAUGGUUAGCACAAAUUGGGCUCAGUGGAUUAUUUUAAAAGGGAGGGCAUGAAGUUGAGAGGAAGUAAGUUGACUAUGGGUGGUGGACCUCAAGAGGGAGAUGAAUAUCACAUGUUCUAUAAAAUUCUCAAAUAUAAAAUACAAAUAUUUUAGAAGCCACACAAGUAUAUUUGGGGUUUAUAUGAGACAAUCUUUUGAAAAGUUGUCCCUCUUUAAGUUUAGAACUAUGAAAACAUCUUAAGGAGUAACAGCCUGCUGUGAAGGAACGAGGAUGUCUCUUCUUCUAGUGGCAUGCUCAGAGCUUUGCUGACUUUUUCUCAAGUGUGUUAAGGACUGUGUCCUUUCUUAAUACUAUGGAAUAAAACAGUUGCUUGAGUUUUAAUGUCAUUAUGACUUUCACGUUGGUGAGAGUCAGCAGAUGCUAAUUCGGUAGGUGUGAGUUUAUGUCUCAGAUUAUUAAUUCCUCUUGCUACGACACUCCAACUAGCAAGGCACUAAAACUAUUGCAUUCUAGCAAUGCAGUUCCUUGUAGAUUCAAAAAAAAUGAGGUAAUUUUCUCUCAUCUACAUUUUAAGAUUGCUGUACUGACUAGAGAGAUGACUUAGUGGUUAACAGCUCUUGCUGCCUGUGCUGGUUUAAAUAAGAAUGCUCCCCUCAGGUGCAUGUAUUUGACUACAUCGUCCACAGCUGCAGUAACUGCUUUGGUAAGGAUUAUGAGGUGGUCUGGUUGGAACAGCUGUGUCACUGCGGGUUUGCUUUGAGAUUUCAAGACUCUUUCCAUUCCCAUUGUCCCUGUCUCUCUGCCUCAUACUUGUGGAUUAAGGCGUGAGCUUGCAGCUGCUGUGCCUGCCAGCCUGUGGUCAUGCUCCCUGCUGUGACGGUCAGGGACUCUGUCUGAAAGUGACCAUUGAAGAAAUGCACAUUGCAAUGAACACAUGCUCUUCAAAUUCUUGCACAACUUCCAUAGAAACUACUGAGAGAAAUGAGACUCACAACAGCCUUCUAAAGUGAUGAGGCUCACCCAUGCUUUCAAAGCCUAUGAUCUACUAUCAGAACUAAAAACCACGUAUGUGAUUGACAUUGUACAACCCCAGAUAAAAUCGUCUUUAACAUGCCUUGGUGCUUCAUGUUUGCAUAGCAGGACCUUGCGACUGAGCCAUCUCCCCAUGAACCCUGGAGGUGUUCAUUUCUACCUACCGUGUAAGAAUAUGUGGAAGUUGUGAGAACUUAGAAAGCACAGCAGCCAGCCUUACUCCGGAAUGUAUGGAAAGAUCAUGUUACAAUGAAAUAUAAAGCCAGACUUCACUAAAUCAGCCUAGGACCCUUUUCAGAGGAUGGUUUGCUUGCCUGAAGACUCUUCACUGGAGAUUUUUGCUCUCAAGUCUUUUAUAUUGGGAUAAUUUCCUAAAGUCACAAUAAAGCCAGAAUGGUGCUUUCUUCUUUUCUGAGG